GGGGGUUAAGUGCAAAGAUUCUGUUGACCUAGGGCUGACUGCAUAAUGUCACUUGUUCGCAAUCUAUUAUUUAUUUUAUAUUUUGAAGAAUUUAAUGGGUAAUCCUAAUUGUUUGUUUUGGCAGGUAUGUGUUGUUAUCUCCUUCUAUCUAACAGUCGUACCUAAAUAGCAUAGUUUCAUCUGUGUUACCAUGUGAUGUACAUAAUUUCACAUUUGCCUCAGAUUAAGCUUAAUUUCCCACAGAAUAGAGCUGUCGCGACUGGACUUUUUGAUGUCCAAAGAGGUAAAUUAUUGGCAUGCCUAGAUAAUUUGGCCAUUUCCUAAUUCAUAAGUCUACAUUAAUUUUGAUUUUGAGUUGACUGAUUUCUUUUCAAGGUCUGCUUCCUUAACGGAGUGACCAAUGUUUUUCAACUAAAUUUAUCAUAUGAUGCAGGAAGCAGGGCAGGAUAUGAAAUGAGAUCUCAUUGGUGGAAGUAUUGCCAGUAGCAGAACCCAAUGAAAAUGAAACUAUUUCAAGGCAGCAGUUGGCAGUUGCAAGUGAAUGGAGGCCCUUGACAAAAUUCUCAAGCGGUUGCAAUGUCUAUUAUUUAUUUUAUAUUUUGAAGAAUUUAAUGGGUAAUCCUAAUUGUUUGUUUUGGCAGGUAUGUGUUGUUAUCUCCUUCUAACUUACUGUCAUACCUAAAUAGCAUAGUUUCAUCUAUGUUACCAUGUGAUGUACAGAAUUUCACAUUUACCUCAGAUGAAGCUUAAUUUCCAGCAGAAUAAAGCUGUCGCGACUGGACUUAGGUUGAUGUCCAAAGAGGUAAAUUAUUGGCAUGCCUAGAUAAUUUGGCCAUUUCCUAAUUCAUAAGUCUACAUUAAUUUUGAUUUUGAGUUGACUGAUUUCUUUUCAAGGUCUGCUUCCUUAAUGGAGUGACCAAUGUUUUUCAACUAAAUUUAUCAUAUGAUGCAAGAAGCAGGGCGGGAUAUGAAAUGAGAAGCUCAUUGGUGGAAGUAUUGCCAGUAACUGAACCCAAAGAAAAUGAAACUAUUUCAAGGCAGCAGUUGGCAGUUGCAAGUGAAUGGAGGCCCUUGACAAAAUUCUCAAGCCGUUGCAAUGCAAUUACGAUCACCCUCAGCCUCAG
rnacentral:lncRNA from 1 species